AGCACCUCUCUCUCCUUCCUUCUUCUUUCUUCUCUGUUCUCCUUCUCUUCCGUCCUUCCCUUUACUCUCUCUUACCGAGAGAGACACAAGGAGACUGAACGAGAGAGUGAGAGACCGUGAGAUGGAGAGAAGAAACUGAGUAAGGAGAAAGCUGGACAGCAACUUCCUUCUUCAUUCUUUCUCCAUUUUUCUGCAAAACUCUCCCGGUCUGCGUUAUUUUUCUGCAACUUUCUUUCCUUCUAUUUUUCUGUUUUGUCCAUUGCAGCAAACAGCCAUCUCUUCCUCUUUUGCAGAAAAGACAGCAAGACAAAACCACAGGAAUGCUCUCCCUUUUUAUUUAUUUACAGUAGCACGAACCAGCAGCAUUUGUUCUCCUUUGCUGCACAAAAACAGCAAGUUAAGUACCUGUUUUCUCUCCUAAAAACCAGCAGCAUUUCUUCUCCUUUGCUGCACAAAAACAGCAAGUUAAGUACCUGUUUUCUCUCCUAAAAACCAGCAGCAUUUCUUCUCCUUUGCUGCACAAAAACAGCAAGUUAAGUACCUGUUUUCUCUCCUAAAAACCAGCAGCAUUUCUUCUCCUUUGCUGUACAAUAAACAGCAAAUAAAGUACCUGUUUUCUCUCCCAAAACAGCAGACCCGUGACCCUGAUCCAGGAACCCGGCGAUCUCCGUGACUCCGUUACUGAGCAGCGCCGAGCAACUCUUACAAACGAUUCACCCUCUGUACUUAACUAAUAGCUCUGUAAGACGAUAAUGAAGAAGUUGGGACUAGUGUUGGAGAACAUCUGCUGUGAUGUUGGUCUUAGUAAGCUGCGAGAGUCUUUCAAGUAGUAGAAGCAGUGGAUCCGGGCCUUACUGUGACUAUAGGACCCAGAUCCAAUGGUAGCAUCCAAGUGGGCCAUGACAGGUCCAUUUCAGUGAGCCCAUAACCCAUGAGCUGACCCGGUCCAAACAGUGACCCGAACCCGGAAACCCGACCCGCUGGUGACCCGUCUCCGGCAGACUUUUCCGGCGACACUCCGGUGACUUUUCCGGUAACUUUUCCGGCGACUUUCCGGUGACUUUUCCGAUGAAUUUCCGAGACCGAACUCAUCGUUUUCACUGGAUUUUCUAGUGAAAAUUCUUAAUGAGAUAUACUAAGAAAAUAUACAAAGAGGAUUAAGCUCGAUCCCGAUAUUAGGGAAAUCCAAGUUAUGAACAGAGAGACGUAGGUGGCCGGGAUGGGAUCUAGGAAUGCAUUAGGACAUUUCAUUUAUAUUACCCCAAAAUUUUCAGUUAUUGUAUUUUUACAAUUAAAUGACCGUUUCCGCAUUUAUUAAAAACUCUUAGAUUUUGAAACCAUUAUUAUUUUUAUUUAUUUAAAUCAGCAUAUUAGUUAAGAUAUUUGGCAGACCUUA